GGGCGGUUAGCUCAGUCUGGUUAGAGCACUUGAUUUACAUUCAAGGGGUCGUUGGUUCAAUUCCAGCACCGCCCA
rnacentral:tRNA from 3 species